AAAGUACUGAUAUACCAGGAGAAGCAAGGACUGGAGACUGAUGCUGAUAUUAUUGUCAAGAUAUUUGUUGUGUUUGCUAAACCAACAGAAGCUGAGAGUACAGUCAAGUCGCUAAACGGAAGGUGGUUCGGUGGUCGUGUUAUAACGGCAGAGCUCUACGAUCAAGCGAAAUUUGAUGCUAACGACCUUUCACACUGAAAGACUGUCACAAUCAAGAAAGAAGAGAAUUAAAAUCUCUCUUCUUCUCAUCAAAUUGUCUCCUUGACAUUUUACAAAUGGAUUGAUACACACACAUGUACAAAACAAACUUGUGAAAUACCUCUCUCUCUCUAUCUUUUUUUUCUCUUUUUUAUAAAAUUUUAAAAUGUAGUAAGAAUUAAUUAAUUUGGAGCCAUUACUUUGUGUGGUCAAAACAUUAA
rnacentral:lncRNA from 1 species